AUUGAACGCUGGCGGCAGGCUUAACACAUGCAAGUCGAGCGAGCGGCGGACGGGUGAGUAAUGUAUGGGAAACUGCCUGAUGGAGGGGGAUAACUACUGGAAACGGUAGCUAAUACCGCAUACCAUCAGAUGUGCCCAGUUGGGAUUAGCUAGUAGGUGGGGUAAUGGCUCACCUAGGCGACGAUCCCUAGCUGGUCUGAGAGGAUGACCAGCCACACUGGGACUGAGACACGGUCCAGACUCCUACGGGAGGCAGCAGUGGGGAAUAUUGCACAAUGGGCGAAAGCCUGACGGAGCAACGCCGCGUGUGUGAAGAAGGCCUUCGGGUUGUAAAGCACUUUCAGCGAGGAGGCGGUACUCGCAGAAGAAGCACCGGCUAACUCCGUGCCAGCAGCCGCGGUAAUUC
rnacentral:rRNA from 1 species